AUGCAACUCAUCUCUCAUCCAACCACAGAAAAACGUACUCUUCUUGACCACUUGUACAUCUCCAAUCCAGAAUACUGUGUCCAGUCGGGUGUCUUGCAGGCUUACUACAGCUACCACAAUCCCAUAUACUGUGUGUUGGCUUCAGUCUAAGCUGCAUCUACAGUGGAUUGCAAAAAUAGUCAUGUUUCUUGAAAUUUUCCAUAUUUCAUCACAUUACAACCACAAAUGUGGAAAUACAGUGGAGAGAUCAAGUAUAUAAUAUACACUGUUGAUUUUUCCAGGUAUAUACUAAGUAAUACACACUUUUCAGUUUAUUUGCAAAAAAUUCAUUCAGUCAUGUAUAUUUUUAAGCCUCCCUAGUAGAGUCUAUUCUGGGGUCCUGGAAAAGAUGGUCCGUAAGGCCCUGGAGAAUGCAUAGGAGUUCAUCCAAACAAUCUACAUGUGUUUUAUGUACUCGUAGAUGGCUUUUGACAGUCUCCCUCUGGGAACCUUGCAGGGGGGGAGGGUGGCGGGUUCUCUGGGAGUAUGGUGUCCAAGGUCUUUUGAUAUGGGCUGUAAGGUUUCUGUGUGAUUGGUACUAGAGUCUAGUCUGCAUUGCUAGCAGUAAGUUGGACUCUUUUCUGCUGAGAGUUGGACUCCGCCAAGGAAACGAGCCCGACUCUGCUGGCAAUGCACACCAGACUCUGACAUCAGUCAUAAAGGGACCUAACAGCCCCUAUCACAGGGCCUGAUACCCCAUACUCCUGGAGAACCCCAGCAUGGUUCCCAGAGGGACACAGUCGAAUUCCUUCUCCAAGUCCACAAAACACAUGUAGAGAGGUUGGGUGAACUCCCAUGAACCCUCCAGGACUCUGCUGAGGUUAUAGAGCUGGUCCAGUGUUUUAUGACCAUGGUGAAAAUCACACUGCUCUUCUUGAGUCCUACUUUUGACUAUUUGACAGACCCUCCUCUCCAGGACCCCCAAAUAGACCUUGCCAGGGAGGCAUUACUGCCCACAAAUAUAUUUGUGGUUGUAAUGUGACAAUAUGGAACAGUUCAAGGGGUAUGAUUACUUUGUUAGCACUGUACAUCUUAAUCCCGAAUUCAUGACAGGAAAUUCUUGUUGGAGAAAAUGUUAAGAUCUCAUGUCAUUCUUAAUAUCACUUUAUCUAACUGCGGUCUCUUUCAUACAUGCAGCAAUCAGAAAGCAGUGUGGAUUAUAUUUUUUUAUCAUUGUUACAGAGGGUUUGAUAUGUAUUUAAUCAUUGUACACAUUUGUGAAUCAUGGUGUAGCUUGUGGAUUUUGUUGUAGGCAUAAAAAUAUUUUUGUACAGUUUGUGAAUCAUUUCGAUACUUAUUUAGCUCCGUAGAAAGGAGAAUUUAUAAUCAGGUUUUGUAUGUAUGCAUGAAGGUUUGAGCUUUGAGAAUACGAAAGUGGCUGAUCUUGAAACACUUAUCGGUUCUCUGUAAGAGUAGUUGCUGGAAAUAUUGGACCAGGAAGCAGCAGAUAAAACAAUCAGUUACUACACGAAUAUUCAGUUCAUUUUGAAAUCAAAAUUAAUUCAAAUAGAUCUUCAAUCUGGCCCAGAGCAUUUUCCUUAUUUUUCUAAUCCGGUUACAGUAACUGUUACCCUUCGAAUUAAUCUAAUUAUUUGCGAAACUCGUUCUUUAUUUUGUAGCAUUCAAUUAAAGCUCUCCUUGUUUUAUCUCUCCCCAAUCAACACUGUAGUUUUUACUGCUGCAGCCCCCUAGUGGUUACUUCACUACAAGGACAAAAGUUCAACUCACUUUUGUCCUAUUUGGCUCCCUCCACAUAGUCAGAAUUUGUCCUGUUUUGGUGGAAUUAACCUUUUUUUCUUCCAGUUUUAGUCUGUUUUUGCAGGUUAUUUUGCAGGUUGUUCCACACAGAAGCUAUCCUUGGAGGCUGCCAAGAAAAGAGAGAGAGGAAACGAGAACUGGAAGUUCAGCCCAUGAAAGUCCAGAACACUCUGGCCUACCUCAUGGACUUGGACCCACACCCAAUGAGGAGAAGAUGGAGUUCUUAUUUCUUUAGAAAAUUUGUGAUGUGUCGCACCACAUUGGAUGCCGAAGAAGUUGGCCAAAGACCUUUGAAGAAGCAAUUCUUUUUUGUCAUUGUUUAUAAUUGUAAAUAGUUUUUCUUGUAUGU